CACGUAGGAGGCAAACGUUAUCCGGAUUUACUGGGCGUAAAGCGCGUGUAGGUGGUUUGGUAAGUAGGGCGUGAAAGCUCCUGGCUCAACUGGGAGAGGACGUUCUAAACUGCCAAGCUAGAGGAUGGUAGAGGGAGGUGGAAUUCCAGGUGUAGCGGUGGAAUGCGCAGAUAUCCGGAGGAACACCAGUGGCGAAGGCGGCCUCCUGGACCACUCCUGACACUCAGACGCGAAAGCUAGGGUAGCAAACGGG
rnacentral:rRNA from 1 species